rnacentral:rRNA from 1 species
GGACUACUGGGGUAUCUAAUCCUGUUUGCUCCCCUAGCUUUCGCAGAUCAGCGUCAGUGAUGGCCCAGAAGCCUGCUUUCGCCAUAGGUAUUCCUCCCGAUAUCUACGCAUUUCACCGCUACACCGGGAAUUCCAGCUUCCUCUGCCACACUCUAGCCGGGUAGUUUCCUUUGACCUCUCCCAGUUAAGCCAGGAGCUUUCACAAAAGACUUACCCAACCGCCUACCUGCGCUUUACGCCUAGUGAUUCCGAGUAUCGCUUGCCACCUACGUAUUACCGCGGCUGCUGGCAC